CUUUCACAUAAUAGCAUGCAGCCUUUAUGCUGCUCAUAGCAAUUCAGUGUUUCUAUGGGCAUCGCACACCUCUCAUUACUGCCUUCAGAUGUGGCUGUACAGUAACCUCACCCUCUGCUGAGGGAGCUGCUCGUGUGUGGGGUUUCAGCGUGUUAGCAAUGCCUUCCAGCUUAUGGCAUCCCUGCAGAUCUGCCUUGCCUACUGCAGAGAGCUAAUAAUGAGUAAGCAUCCAAAAAUGAAUUGCUAUGCCUUGAUUUCAAUGUUAAUUUCUCCUCCUUACUGGAAACUAUUGCAGGCAUAAGAGAAUCUCAGCAGUCCCUGAUGUUGGCAUUGCAAACCUCCAGCUAUGCACUAGGAGUAUACUUCAUACCUGACAAUGAACGAGAGGAGGGGAGAAAACAGUUCCAAAGGAUAGGCUUUUUUCUAUAAAGCAUUUCCUUAACAAAUGCUGGGGGAGAAGUGGAUCCCACUGCUGGAAUUGGCUCCAGCACGACAGUGUAUGUCCCAGGGCUGACAGCUGUGACUGUGCCUCUCCAACAGUGUUCCUGGGGGUGGUUGCACGGGGUGCUGUGUGCCCCCUGCACCCGGGUAUCCUCUGAGAGCCAGGGGUGCUGUCAGAUCCCACUGCUUUCUCCCCACCCCAGCCAAGCUCCUAUUGCUGACUGUACCAUCACCUCUCGGGGGUCCCCAAGGAGAGGGGUAUUACAGAAGCUGUUCCCCGUGGCAGGAGCUGGCAUUUCACAUGGCCACAAAGUGAGAAGCCCAUCCCCAGGAGGCUGCCGAAGAGGAAAAGGAUGCUGACAAGUGCUCCUCACGCCGUGCCAACCUGAGCUGUGUUGCUGCGUGCCAUCACAGUCGGUGGGUAUCACGUCGGUCCCGGACUUUCUGCAAUAGAGAACAAGCUGGGUAAUACUCCAUGUCAACUCCAGAGUGCAGUGCUGUGUGUAUCCUCUUCGCCAGUGUUUCCCUUUAUCUGCUGAUGGCUUUGGGUUGCUCAUCUUCCAGGCUGAGUGCUCAGCACAACAGGACCAGAUCCCAGUGAGCUCCGCCUGCUUUACUCUGCGCUGGGCAUACGCAGGUCACACUGUGCAGCAGAAUUUAAGCUGUUUGAAUGAGUGUUAUUAACACAGAUAAUAAACGAGCCCAGAGCAUUAUGGGCAUUGCUUACCCAUCAUCUGGAACUUCCAGCCUUAAAAAACAUGAGAAGUUCUGUUGCUUUUUUUGUGUCACCAAUAACCUAUGAAGCAGAUAUUUUGUGUGAGGCUAUUUAGGGAGCUCCGUGGGCUGCUCCUGGGAGAUUUCAAGCCAACUGUUACAUGUCUCAGUAUUUCUGAUUUACUGGCUGGGACAAAAACAACGUACAGAAACCCACGAUUCAUUCCAUUUACUGCUACUUUUUUAAACACCAGUACUGCAGCUCACUGCUUCUGUGCCAUGAGCCCCAAGAGCACCUCUGAUUUCAAUUAAGAAGUGUUGUCUUUCCUGUGAAGAGAUGUCACCAACUUUGAAACUAUGGCAUUGCAACGUAGUAACAUGCACUGAGAGGCUGAGCGCUCUGCCACCCCACAGGUGAGGAAGGCAACGGCCUCAUCAUGGCCAAAAUUAUUCACGCCGCACAAACCCAGGAAGUAAACUGGGAGAUAAAGCACUGCACGCAGCAAAGGAAUGUCUGUUGGCAUUCAGAGCUGAAGGAGACAGCAUCUCAUGUCCUGCUCCUUCCCACCAGGAAGGUGAAGUGCAUGAAGUGGGGGAAGCAAAGGAGGAAGGAAUGGGGGGUGUGUGGGGACAGCUGCAGUUGGAUGUGGCUCUGCUGCUUUGCAGGAAGGUGAG
ensembl:lncRNA